rnacentral:lncRNA from 1 species
UCCCAGACAUAGACAUACCCCUUUGAAGUAGAGAAACCAUAGUUAUUCUCUCUAUUCUGCUACCAUCGCCCAUAUACUAGAUUGCUCUACUCUCUAUUCCCAUAUUAUCACUCACUGUUAUCUUACCUUUAAUAUUGUUCUUAUUCGAUUCUACCAUCUUUCCUAUUUACACUUAUCUAUCUAUCCUGGUUAAGUUAGAGCGUAGUUGGUUCUCCCAUUUCCCUGUGGAUACGAUAAAACCUUUAACCGGAUAAAAGCUUCAACGGUAUCCGUGCGCUUGCGGAUUAUCUGUGUGCGUAUAAAUACCAUAGUACACUCUAGUGCCAUGCUGGGG